rnacentral:rRNA from 1 species
AGAGUUUGAUCAUGGCUCAGGACGAACGCUGGCGGCGUGCUUAACACAUGCAAGUCAUGGGGGUCCGCAAGGACAACCGGCGAACGGGUGCGUAACACGUGAGCAACCUACCGAGAUGUGGGGGAUAGCCGGCCCAACGGCCGGGUAAUACCGCAUACGAUCAUCGAGGGGAGUCCCUUGAUGAGGAAACUCGCAAGAGGCAUUUCGAGGGGCUCGCGGCCUAUCAGCUAGUUGGCGGGGUAAUGGCCCACCAAGGCAACGACGGGUAGCUGGUCUGAGAGGAUGGCCAGCCACAUUGGGACUGAGAAACGGCCCAGACUCCUACGGGAGGCAGCAGUGGGGAAUCUUGCGCAAUGGUCGAGAGACUGACGCAGCGACGCCGCGUGUGGGAGGGCGCCCUUCGGGGUGUAAACCACUGUUGCCCGGGACGAACAAGCGGUUUCGACCGCUCUGACGGUACCGGGUGAGGAAGCACCGGCUAACUCCGUGCCAGCAGCCGCGGUAAUACGGAGGGUGCGAGCGUUGUCCGGAAUCACUGGGCGUAAAGGGCGCGUAGGUGGCGCGAGAAGUCAACGGUGAAAGUUCAGGGCUCAACCCUGAAUCGGCCGUCGAUACUCUCGGGCUCGAGCACUGUAGAGGCAGGUGGAAUUCCGGGUGUAGCGGUGGAAUGCGUAGAGAUCCGGAAGAACACCGGUGGCGAAGGCGGCCUGCUGGGCAGUUGCUGACACUGAGGCGCGACAGCGUGGGGAGCAAACAGGAUUAGAUACCCUAGUAGUCC